UUUUACACAUGACCUCACGGGGGCGGGACGACCCGCUAGACUUAAGCAUAUUAAUCAGCGGAGGAAAAGAAACUAACAAGGAUUCCCCUAGUAACUGCGAGUGAACAGGGAUGAGCUCAAUGUGUGAAUCAGGUCGGGAUUAGCUCCUUGCUUGAGUUGUGCACUAUAGACAGCGGAUCAGCGCUUGAAGACUCGUGGUGGAUAUCCGAUGAAACUCGGUGCUAUUAAGGGUCAUAGUCCUGUACUUGCCUUAUGAGUCUUUGCGCAUUUGACCGAUGUUCUGCGAGUCGCGUAGUUUUGUAAUGCUGCGCCAAUUUGGAGGUAGAGCCCUUCUAAAGCUAAAUAUGAUGAUGUGACCGAUAGCACACAAGUACCGCGAGGGAAAGGUGAAAAGCAACCAUGCAGAAUGGGUUGAAACAGCAGUGAAAGCGCUACCGGGAUAAGGGCUGGGGAUUGCUUGUGUCGCUUGCGCGUGCUUCAGUGCUGUGCUUGUGAACGGCAUGCAUCGAUUAGGAUGGGGAGAACAGGGCCACCGGGAAUUCGGCUAGAUCCGUCUAGUGUUGUAGCCCGGAG
rnacentral:rRNA from 1 species